GCCGCUGCUGCCGCUCCUGCUCUGACUGCGCCCGCUGCGGGAUCGGGGCCUCGCCGGGGCUCGCUGCUGCUUGAGCCGCUCAUCCCACAACUGCCGCAGCACAGGACAUCCUGAGUGGGAAUGGAUACACAAGGACCACCAAGUCGAACCCUUAUGUGAAUGGCUCCUCUGGCGAUUGAACCCACACCUGGGCACUCUCAGCACCCUGCUCCAGCCAAGCCAAUCUCAGCUCCUGGCAAUGUCCUGCCUGGGAUAGGAACGCCAAGUGCCAGCAAGGCCAUUCCUAUGCAAAUAGAGCUCCUUCUUUUAUGCUAAUGCUGCUUUCCACACCAGCCCCUGCAAUGGCCCCAGGGCAGAGCUCCAUGGCCAGCACCUGAUCAUGCAACAACACAGGUGAGCAGUUGUGUGACAGCACUGAACUCUUCCCAUAACCCUGAUUUCCUGCCCUUUCCAGGAUUUACCCAACAGCUGUAAAGGUGCUCGUUCCAUGGCCCUUUCCAGGGAGAAAUGAGCAAGGCAAGUCCUGAGGGUUCACUUGGUCCACGGCCAAAGCUCUUCUGGAGAGGGUCAGGGCUGCUCCUGCCUGCAGAGGGGCCUUUCCCACAGGUGCCCUGGGGAUGCCAGGGAGGUGCCUUUGCCCACAGUGCCUUUCUCCUGCCCCUCUCCAGCUCGAGGCCUCUUCUCCCUUCCCUGCCAGCUGCUGCCAAGGAAGGAGGACACAGUGAGUGCUGAGUUGACCUCCAAAUAGUCCUUCCCUCACCUUGAGAUGACCUGAGAUUUUACCCCCAAAAUGUCCCCAUCUGUCUCCUGAGUUCCUCAUUUUUUAUAAGGAAGCAUUCUUUCUCUGCUCUGGAGACUACCACAAGAUUUGCCCCCAAAACUUUCCCCACCUGUCCACUACCUCUUUCCUCAUUUCCACCUCAAUCUUUUCAUUCUUUGCCCUACAGAUGCUUUCAAUUUUUACCCCUCCGAACUUCCCUACCUGUCCAUAAGUGAUUACCUCAGUUUACCCCAUCAAGUGCAUUCUCUCUGCUACAGAUCACCUCAGAUUUUACCCCCAAAAUUUUCC